UCCGCCUUGCUCUUGCCGACCACACCCACCGUCGCGUCGCGUCAUUGUUGCUUGUGUCGUUGAUCAUUGCGUUCCGUGCAUACCCAAGGCACAAGGCACGACUUGUGCCUCUAGCUAGUAGACCGGGAUGCUCUAAUUAGGUUGUUAGGUUUGUUGAUUGUAUACUUAAUCUUAUGCAGUAAUGACAUGUGGGGUCCUAUGGGACCCGUUGACCAGUCAACGGUUGAGUCAGCAGUUUACUAGGCCCACCAGUCAGCCUCGGUGGCUAGAUCUAGUCCGGUGUAAAAAGUUGUGUCUCUGUUCGAAAUUCGAAUUAAUAAAUAAAGAAAAAAAAGGAAAUAAAUGUUAGAAAUAU
rnacentral:lncRNA from 1 species